UUUAAUUCGAAGCAACGCGCAGAACCUUACCAGCCCUUGACAUGGGCGUCGCGGGUGGAGAGAUCCACCUUUCGGUUCGGCCGGACGCCGCACAGGUGCUGCAUGGCUGUCGUCAGCUCGUGUCGUGAGAUGUUGGGUUAAGUCCCGCAACGAGCGCAACCCCCAUCCCCAGUUGCCAGCACGUAAUGGUGGGCACUCCGGGGAAACCGCCGGUGACAAGCCGGAGGAAGGCGGGGAUGACGUCAAGUCCUCAUGGCCCUUAUGGGCUGGGCUACACACGUGCUACAAUGGUGGUGACAGUGGGCAGCGAGAUCGCGAGAUCGAGCCAAUCUCCAAAAGCCAUCUCAGUUCGGAUCGCACUCUGCAACUCGGGUGCGUGAAGUUGGAAUCGCUAGUAAUCGCGGAUCAGCACGCCG
rnacentral:rRNA from 1 species